AUUGAACGCUGGCGGCAGGCCUAACACAUGCAAGUCGAGCGGAUGAAGGGAGCUUGCUCCUGGAUUCAGCGGCGGACGGGUGAGUAAUGCCUAGGAAUCUGCCUGGUAGUGGGGGAUAACGUCCGGAAACGGGCGCUAAUACCGCAUACGUCCUGAGGGAGAAAGUGGGGGAUCUUCGGACCUCACGCUAUCAGAUGAGCCUAGGUCGGAUUAGCUAGUUGGUGGGGUAAAGGCCUACCAAGGCGACGAUCCGUAACUGGUCUGAGAGGAUGUUCAGUCACACUGGAACUGAGACACGGUCCAGACUCCUAGGGGAGGCAGCAGUGGGGAAUAUUGGACAAAGGGCGAAAGCCUGAUCCAGCCAUGCCGCGUGUGUGAAGAAGGUCUUCGGAUGGUAAAGCACUUUAAGUUGGGAGGAAGGGCAGUAAGUUAAUACCUUGCUGUUUUGACGUUACCAACAGAAUAAGCACCGGCUAACUUCGUG
rnacentral:rRNA from 1 species